rnacentral:tRNA from 1 species
CGAGCCGGUGGCCGAGACGGCGCAGCCGUCGGCGUUGGAGGCGUAGGUGCCGGCGCCGAUGAUCGGCACGUCGCCGACCCGGCC